UCCCCAAGAGUCCAUAUCGACGGGAUGGUUUGGCACCUCGAUGUCGGCUCGUCGCAUCCUGGGGCUGGAGUCGGUCCCAAGGGUUGGGCUGUUCGCCCAUUAAAGCGGUACGCGAGCUGGGUUUAGAACGUCGUGAGACAGUUCGGUCCCUAUCCGCUGUGCGCGUAGGAAUAUUGAGAAGGGCUGUCCCUAGUACGAGAGGACCGGGACGGACGAACCUCUGGUGUGCCAGUUGUCCUGCCAAGGGCAUGGCUGGUUGGCUACGUUCGGAAAGGAUAACCGCUGAAAGCAUCUAAGCGGGAAGCCUGCUUCGAGAUGAGUAUUCCCACCAACUUGAUUGGUUAAGGCUCCCAGUAGACGACUGGGUUGAUAGGCCAGAUGUGGAAGCCCGGUAACGGGUGGAGCUGACUGGUACUAAUAGGCCGAGGGCUUGUCCUCAGUUG
rnacentral:rRNA from 1 species